GAUGCUAUAUAUGACUUUGCAAGAGAAGGCGAUACAGAGAACUUGAUCAAGUGUGUCGAGGCUGGCAUUCCUGUGGAUAUAAAGGAUAGUGAGGGUCGGGCCCCUUUGCACUGGGCUGUUGAUCGUGGCCAUAUCGAACUUGAAAAGGCACCGGUUUAGGGAUAACGAGGGCCAGACACUGUUGCAUUAUGCUGCUGUUUGCGAGAGAGAACGCAUAGCCGAGCUGCGUAUGAAGAAAAACGCGUCAACAUAUAUAAAGACGAUGACGGAAACUAUCCUGCCAAUCUUUGUGAUUCA